rnacentral:misc_RNA from 1 species
GGGUGGUGUGGGGGGGAAGAGAUUAGAGCAUCGCUUUAGCAUGGAUAGUAUGACAAGGAACUAGAAUAGAAGAGCAGAAGAUAGAUUGCAAGGAAAAGCAGAUACAAGAAAUACUAUUAAUUAUUAAACCCCUAUUAAAUUGUAGUUAAAGCAACCAAUGUGAAUAACUCAAGCAAAAUUGUCCAAUAAGACACUUCUGUUUGACUUUUUACUUUUUCUCCUUGUUACCAAAUACCAGAUAAAGCAUUCUCACAUACUUGUACUCACUGCAUAAACAAAUGAACCUUUUCUUUGUUCUUCAGUCUAUAAUAGAUGCAUUUUUAUAAUUACAAGCAGCUACCCUCCUAUUGGAUUAUCCACAUUCACCAGAUUGCAUUUAACAUUGGCCCUAAUUCCCUUCAUAGAAAAGAAAGCAUUUUAAUCAAUACCAGUUGCAGUCCUCAAACAAAUGCAUGAGCUUCCAGAAUAGCAAAAUAGCUAGUACCCUUAAAAGGCAAAAUUAUACCAAGUAUAGGAAACAAAACUUGAGAUAGUUACAGCUAUAAAUGAAGCUUCCAGUAGCAAACUAAUACCAAUUUACAUAAGCACAAGCCUCAUUUCCAAUCUCUUUCCCAAUUUUGAUUCUUAGAUACGAUCCAAUUCACAGUCCCAAUUCCCUCAUUAGCUUAUAAAGCAAAGCAAAUUCGACCAAAAAAAAUCCAAAAGCAAUCAAAUCAUAGAAAUUAACGUCAAAAUUCUCCAAGUAAACCAUCGCAUCUCAAAAACAUAAAAAAUCAAAUAACAAAGUAAGCUCAACUAAACCAAAAAAAAAAAUUAUAAAAACAGAUUAACGAGGUCGAACAGGGAAAUACAAAUUCAUAGAAAAAGUAAGUAAUAAAAAGCUGAAGAUUUCUAGGGUUUGGAUUAAAAAACAGAAGCAGAAGUGAAAGGGACCUGACCUGCUUAGCUAAACUGAAAAGGAAGAAAAGCGACGUCGGAUUCAGCAGAUACCAGUAUUUGUAGUUGGGACUGAGAGAAGAAAGAUGCAAGCUUUCGUUUGUGAGGAAGAUUUGUGGCUCAAUCUCUCUCUAACUCCGCCCUGUAUCCAAAAACAUCUGCAGCGACUUGAGGGUCAAGAGAUCGAAUCAGCCCCU